AAUCUUCACAAUGCGCGCAAGCGUGAUGAGGGAAUCCCAGGUGCCCUUGCACUGCAAGGGCUUUUGUGGAGUGUAAAAAGCUCUACGAAUAAGGGCUGGGCAAGACCAGUGCCAGCCUCCGCGGUAACACUGGCACCUGACUGGAACGGGCUCGACGGUGAGGGAUGAAAGCUAGGGGAGCAAACCGGAUUAGAUACCCGGGUA
rnacentral:rRNA from 1 species